rnacentral:rRNA from 1 species
CCUACGGGAGGCAGCAGUGGGGAAUAUUGGACAAUGGGGGCAACCCUGAUCCAGCGAUGCCGCGUGAGUGAAGAAGGCCUUCGGGUCGUAAAGCUCUUUAGGUUGGGAAGAAGGUUAUGGGAGGAAAUGCCUGUAACUUGACGGUACCGACAGAAUAAGCACCGGCAAACUCUGUGCCAGCAGCCGCGGUAAUACAGAGGGUGCGAGCGUUAAUCGGAUUUACUGGGCGUAAAGGGCGCGUAGGCGGUGAGAUGUGUGUGAUGUGAAAGCCCCGAGCUUAACUUGGGAAGCGCAUCGCAAACUAUUUGACUGGAGUAUAUGAGAGGGUGGCGGAAUUUCCGGUGUAGCGGUGAAAUGCGUAGAGAUCGGAAGGAACGUCGAUGGCGAAGGCAGCCACCUGGCAUAAUACUGACGCUGAGGCGCGAAAGCGUGGGGAGCGAACAGGAUUAGAUACCCUGGUAGUCCACGCUGUAAACGAUGAGUACUAAAUGUUGGUAGGGGAACCUAUCAGUAUUGAAGUUAACACGAUAAGUACUCCGCCUGGGAAGUACGGCCGCAAGGUUGAAACUCAAAUGAAUUGGCGGGGGCCCGCACAAGCGGUGGAGCAUGUGGUUUAAUUCGAUGCAACGCGAAGAACCUUACCUACCCUUGACAUCCUGCGAAUCCCGAUGAGAGUUUGGGAGUGCCGAAAGGAACGCAACAGACAGGUGCUGCAUGGCUGUCGUUCAGCUCGUGUUGUGAGAUGUUGGGGUUAAGUCCCGUAACGAGCGCAACCCUUGCCCUUAGUUGCCACCAGGUAAAGCUUGGGGACUCUAAGGGG